rnacentral:lncRNA from 1 species
CCAUUUAUGGGAAUCUUUCGUGCCAUUUCGACUUCAUCGUACAGUCCAAAGUCACCCAUGAAGUGGGGCUGCACGUCCAAAAAGUUAUCGGAUACUCAAUCUGCUAAGAUGCACGCUGCAUGGCGUUGCGGUCGCCGGUACGCAGCACAGAGGUUCAUGGCUGUGAAGAACUCCCCGAGUGCCGCCCUGGAAGAUCCGCCAUCCUCCGCCCACGCCCUCCUCAUCACCUCUCNNNN